rnacentral:lncRNA from 1 species
GGCGUGGAAAGGGCUAUAUCGCCGUGUGUUUCUUCCCUCGGUCACGGGGGAGGGAAUUCACCGCCCUGGAGAGUUUGGUGCCUGAGGCGGCUGCUUCCUUUCGCUUCUCGGGCGGGCCCUCUGGCUACAACCCGGUUGACAGUUCGUUAGGUGGAACAUGCAGGAAGGAAAGCGAAGACUGUUGACCCCAGCGCCACUUCAAACUUUGCGGGAUAGGACGUGUGUGUGUGCGUGUUGCGGGGCGGGGGUGGUGGUGGAAGGAAGUUUUCGUCAGCAAUUGUGAGCCUUCGCUAAUACAUUAAAUUGCGAGGAAAACGCGCCAAAACCUCUCGACAGUGUCUUGCGGGUGCGGAGGCCUCGACACGUCCUCUGCCUCGCUCCGUCUUAUUCCCUACCUUUGCGCAAUACCUAAGCCUUUUUUUCCCCGUCUUGCCUGAGGGAGAGACACUACCUGCGUUUUCGAAGACCGCGGAAACUUCGUAAGGCAGGAAGGAGGGACGGGUCACUUUUCGGCGGCCCUCCGCCCUCUUCUUCUUUCCUUCCCUUUCCUCGUCCUACCGCCAAGCAGCUGCGGGCCUCCAGGGGAUCAGCCUUUCCUGCGCUGGCCGGGCAGGCGGCGGCGGCGGCUGCGCGCCCGCUGCUUCUGCUCCCAGUUAGAGGUGGCUCCUCCAUUUCCAUAUCAUCACUGGUGUUGCAACCUCACAGUCCUCUGCUGUUCUAUAGUGAAGGAGAAAAUGUAGAAGAAAGGAAGUGAAGGGGAGUGGUGUCUCCCAGUCCCACACUGACUCAGUGGAGAUCAAAGAAGCAUUCAGUUGACAGUUGCUCUGGAUGCCAAAGGCUUUUCCAUUGACAUCUUCCGUUCCCACUGUUGGCAAUCACUAUCACUUCCUGCCUUGAGAUCAACAAUUACACAAGUUAGUUGGACAUUAAUCUUAUUAUCUCAUAAUGUUUUGUUCUUGUUUUGCUUUCCUAUUUGGAAUAUUCUCCAGGCAGGGCUUGGACGUUUCUUGCAUCUUUUGCUUGCAAGGGACAUUAAUAAUAAAGGUUUGUUUAUUUUUCUGUUGCUAUAGCCU